AGUAACUCUAAGGAGUGAAGGAGCCAGCACAUUCAAGGGAUUCCUCGUCCAGAUUCGAACUGCUGAUCCUACCAAAGACCAGUCGACUCGCUAUGGACAGUUCUCGGCAGGGUCCAACUCACGUACUGAAUGCUCUGGGAACGACGUAUGUUGAAAAUCUUCAAACCUACUGGACAGGAGUGAAGUCCGUUAUUAUUAAACCAGCAACACGAUCGAAUUCAGCCAAGACGCAUGCUGGAGACAAUGGUAAUGGAACAGAUGACGUCAAGCCAAUCAUUUCAUUGAUAGUUACAGCGCUCGCUAUUU